rnacentral:ncRNA from 1 species
CUGACAGGCAGGAGGGUAAAAGGGAAGCAGGUGAAGUUCCUGCACGAUCUCGUCACUGUAAUUGCGGAGCGAUAUACAAAAACAUAGUCACUGAGCGAUCGGGAAGGCUGUAUGUCGUGAUGAUGCAUAAGUCAGGAAACCUGCCGCUUUG